rnacentral:misc_RNA from 1 species
AAUCAAAAUGAAAGUCUCAAGAUGAAAGUCAAGUAGUCAAGUAACUAUUCUUCAAUCCACAUCUAUUGUAACAUCAUAAUCUUCUGAGCCUUCUUCUUUAUCUUCAUCCUUUGAAUACUUAUUUUCAAAAUUCAUGUCUUCAUCUUCAUCACCUUCCUCUUCCUAAUCAAUUAAAGAACUUUCAAUUCUCAACUUAGUUGAUGGUGCAUUUCCUCUUUGCUUUGGCAUAGAUCUUGAAGCAGGUGUAGAUGCCACAUUUACCCUUUUCCUUGAUCUAGUGUUGUAGUCAUCCUCUUCAACUCAAAUAGCUUCAGCAACCACAUCCCAUGUCAAAUUAUCAUCUUAAAACACAAGUUCAUCUUUAUCCAACUUUUCUUGCAUUUGACCUAUCAACCAUUCAUUACAAUCAUCCAUGUCUUUCAAUGAGAUAGGGUCGAUGCGGUCAUGU